rnacentral:rRNA from 1 species
AAUAGAUACCCCGGUAGUCCUAGCCGUAAACGAUACUCGCUAGGUGUCGGCCACGGUGCGACCGUGGUCGGUGCCGUAGGGAAGCCGUGAAGCGAGCCACCUGGGAAGUACGGCCGCAAGGCUGAAACUUAAAGGAAUUGGCGGGGGAGCACUACAACGGGUGGAGCCUGCGGUUUAAUUGGAUCCAACGCCGGAAAUCUUACCGGGACCGACAGCAAUAUGAAGGCCAGGCUGAAGACUUUGCCGGAUUAGCUGAGAGGUGGUGCAUGGCCGUCGUCAGUUCGUACUGUGAAGCAUCCUGUUAAGUCAGGCAACGAGCGAGACCCACGCCCACAGUUGCCAGCGUACUCUCCGGAGUGACGGGUACACUGUGGGGACCGCCGCUGCUAAAGCGGAGGAAGGAAUGGGCAACGGUAGGUCAGUAUGCCCCGAAUAUCCCGGGCUACACGCGGGCUACAAUGGUUGGUACAAUGGGUAUCUACCCCGAAAGGGGAUGGAAAUCUCCUAAAGCCAAUCUUAGUCCGGAUUGAGGGCUGCAACUCACCCGUCA